rnacentral:tRNA from 1 species
GUCCAGCUAGAUCAGUUGGUAGAGCAUGAGACUCUUCAUUUCAGGGUCGUGGGUUCACGCCCCAUGUUGAGCU